GAUACGUAGUUUCAUCCGCAAGUUGCUCUCGAAGUUUCUGAAGCCUGCAGCACCGGGAAUUGCAUGAAAUCCUCUAUAAGGACCCAUCAAACCAACUGCCAGGAGAAAAGCUGGUGAUCGGCUUCACUACUCGAGCUACACUCAACAGGCUCCUUGAUGCAGGAGACAUUACACCGCAGCAAGUGCAGAGGUUCCAGCAGGCAGCAGUGGCGUUUCUGGUGAGGGCUGUGGAGUAUGCCACGAAGAAACUCCCCAUGAGAGAGCCCCAGAUAAAACAUGCCAUGUUUCUGGAUGUCCAGCAGAGGGUAGAGGGUAGAGUGUGGAGUGGAAGACACCUUGUACUUUGUCGACAGGUUUCCUGAACUUCUCCCAGACAACGGACCUGACGAGCGUGACAAACUGAGUGAGGAGGUUCUGGACUACCAGUCCAUGGACAUUGCCAUGCCCGAAGACCCAGCCACGUUCGACAUUGAGAGCUUUUGGGGGAACAUGGCAUCAAUGAAGAAUAAGGUAAGAAUUAUUCUGCACCCUUUGAAAUACCCAUUGACGUAAUCAACUUAAUUCUAUACAAAAAUACUUGAGAGUAAUUAGGCUUCCUAUGUACAUUUUUCAAAGGUGGCCGGUAUGAGCAGAUUUGGGAGGCUCUCUCGUAUUGCCAAGUUGGUGUUGGUACUUCCACAUUCAAAUGCUGAACGAGUGUUUUCUGUGAUGGGACUGAA